ACGGUCCUAAGGUAGCGAAAUUCCUUGUCGGGUAAGUUCCGACCUGCACGAAUGGCAUAAUGAUGGCCACACUGUCUCCUCCCGAGACUCAGUGAAGUUGAAAUGUUUGUGAUGAUGCAAUCUCCCCGCGGCUAGACGGGAAGACCCCAUGAACCUUUACUGUAGCUUUGCAUUGGACUUUGAACCGAUUUGUGUAGGAUAGGUGGGAGGCUUUGAAGCGUGGACGCCAGUCUGCGUGGAGCCAACCUUGAAAUACCACCCUUUAAUGGCUGGUGUUCUAACGUGGGCCCGUAAUCCGGGUUGCGGACAGUGUCUGGUGGGUAGUUUGACUGGGGCGGUCUCCUCCCAAAGAGUAACGGAGGAGCACGAAGGUUAGCUAAUCCUGGUCGGACAUCAGGAGGUUAGUGCAAUGGCAUAAGCUAGCUUGACUGCGAGCGUGACGGCGCGAGCAGGUGCGAAAGCAGGUCAUAGUGAUCCGGUGGUUCUGAAUGGAAGGGCCAUCGCUCAACGGAUAAAAGGUACUCCGGGGAUAACAGGCUGAUACCGCCCAAGAGUUCAUAUCGACGGCGGUGUUUGGCACCUCGAUGUCGGCUCAUCACAUCCUGGGGCUGAAGUAGGUCCCAAGGGUAUGGCUGUUCGCCAUUUAAAGUGGUACGCGAGCUGGGUUUAGAACGUCGUGAGACAGUUCGGUCCCUAUCUGCCGUGGGCGCUGGAGAAUUGAGGGGGGCUGCUCCUAGUACGAGAGGACCGGAGUGGACGCAUCACUGGUGUUCGGGUUGUCAUGCCAAUGGCACUGCCCGGUAGCUAAAUGCGGAAGAGAUAAGUGCUGAAAGCAUCUAAGCACGAAACUUGCCCCGAGAUGAGUUCUCCCUGAGACUUUAAGUCUCCUGAAGGAACGUUGAAGACGACGACGUUGAUAGGCCGGGUGUGUAAGCGCAGCGAUGCGUUGAGCUAACCGGUACUAAUGAACCGUGAGGCUUAACCUU
rnacentral:rRNA from 1 species